rnacentral:rRNA from 1 species
UACGGGGGGGGCAAGCGUUGUUCGGAAUUACUGGGCGUAAAGGGCUCGUAGGCGGCCAACUAAGUCAGACGUGAAAUCCCUCGGCUUAACCGGGGAACUGCGUCUGAUACUGGAUGGCUUGAGUUUGGGAGAGGGAUGCGGAAUUCCAGGUGUAGCGGUGAAAUGCGUAGAUAUCUGGAGGAACACCGGUGGCGAAGGCGGCAUCCUGGACCAACACUGACGCUGAGACGCGAAAGCGUGGGGAGCGAACCGG